ACCUUGCUGAUGAGUGCCAGAAUAGCACGAAACCUAGGUCCAUGGU
rfam:Schistosoma haematobium scaffold111_15, whole genome shotgun sequence.